rnacentral:rRNA from 1 species
GAUGAACGCUGGCGGCGUGGAUAAGGCAUGCAAGUCGAGCGAUACAAUUGCGAUUACAUCAAGGUUGUAUAGCGGCGAACGAGUUAGUAACACGUGAGUAACCUGCCCUUGACUCUGGGAUAACUGCUAGAAAUGGUAGCUAAUACCGGAUACGACCCUCGGUGGCAUCACCAGGGGGUGGAAAGAAUUUCGGUCAAGGAUGGACUCGCGGCCUAUCAGCUAGUUGGUGAGGUAACGGCUCACCAAGGCGACGACGGGUAGCCGGCCUGAGAGGGUGACCGGCCACACUGGGACUGAGACACGGCCCAGACUCCUACGGGAGGCAGCAGUGGGGAAUAUUGCACAAUGGGCGCAAGCCUGAUGCAGCAACGCCGCGUGAGGGAUGACGGCCUUCGGGUUGUAAACCUCUUUUAGUAGGGAAGAAGCGAAAGUGACGGUACCUGCAGAAAAAGCACCGGCUAACUACGUGCCAGCAGCCGCCGUAA